AUUUAUCUUUGUGUGUUUGGUUGUCAGGACAAGCCCCAGGACAAGAGGGCAGAACACCGGUCCUUUGGAAGCUCGCUUCAUAAGCGGCUACACUGCAGUUACAUGAUGUACAUACAGCCCGGCCUUUUACAGAAAGUACCCUUUUAUUUGGUAUGUUUGUUUUGAUAGUCGUUUAUUAUUAUUAUUCUUUUUUAAAUAAAGAUAUAUGCUAGCUUAUUAGCGACCAACAUACUAUUGCUACAAAGAGUCAAACGGUAGGAAACCGUUGUCAGAACUGUUGUCUUCUAGCAACUUAAAGAAGUCCAGACGCUUUUCUUUGCAAGCUCCUUUGACUACGAUGACCUGGAUGACUGAGAACCUUCACAGACACACCGCUGUCUUCAUUAUCUUCACGAUUCAAGUUGAGUAAGACAGACAGACUGAGACUAAAAUAAUGUCUGAUCUAAAAUACUACAUGUCACUGUCUGUGACUGUGGGUGUCAUGUUGGUGGGCCUGUCGUACACAAUCUGUUUAGCCUCCCAGUGGAUUUAUGGUUGGCCUGACAAGCCUGGGUAUAAGAAGUACAUAGAAGCUCUUAAUCCAAGGCGAAUAUAUCGUCUCAGCUUUGUUACGCUGGAUCUUCUCAAAUACCUGCGGUAUGCCAGACUUUACUUUCAACUGAAGUCAUGGUAUAACGAUGAGAGGAACCUUAAGUAUUACGAAAAGGGCAUCACAUUUGGUCGCAGAGGCAACAAGCUGGACUUGUACCACCCUCCAAAUGUAGACAAGUUAGAAGAUAUGCCAUCACCAGUUGUAAUAUUUAUCUAUGGAGGUGCUUGGAGUUCAGGAGAAAGGUCCACUUACUGUUUACUGAGCAGGCAGAUGGCUGAAGAACUGAAAGCAACUGUAAUUUGUCCUGAUUACUGCACAUAUCCAAAGGGGAAUGUUUUAGGGAUGGUCCAAGAUAUCGCUGACUGCUUGAUUUGGGUCCACGAGAAUGGAGAGAAAUUCAACUUUGACAAAGAUAACAUUGUAUUAAUUGGGCAUUCAGCAGGUGCACAUUUGUGUACACUCACCACACUGUUUCUUGUUGAUACAAGAGAGGAGCUUUCCAUAGAGCCAGACAAGCAGCAGGAAGUCUUCCUGUUAAUAAGAGGAAUUAUUGGUCUGAGUGGCGUCUACAACACUGUGGAACAUUAUGAACAUGAACAGAAACGAGGAAUCGAAUACCUCUCUGACAUGCACAGAGCAAUGACUGGUGUGGAAAACCUUCCAUUCUACUCACCAACACACUUACUGAAGAAGCUCAGCCAGGACAAAGUCAGCAGAUUGCCUCCAUUCGCCUUGCUCCAUGGGACCAAUGACAUUGUCGUUCCUGCUGAAUCUACCAUGAGAUUCUCUGAGCUUCUCACUUCGCGCUCUGUUAAGUUGUCAUUGAAUCUGCUUCCCAGAGCGAGCCACACUGAUAUCCCCGUUGACCUCAUGGUGUCAAACAGACGCCUCUACCAUCCAAUCUACGGAUACAUCAACGAAGAGUUCAGAAAACUUCUGGGUACUUGCACAUCAUUAGAAAAACAUUCAAAAAUCUGUAAUACAUACUGAAUGAUCCAUACAUUUAUGUUUUAGAUACUUGUUCUUAUACCUCAAAUGAACCAUUUAACUUUGAGUUUGAUUUAACACUUUCUGAGUUAAUAACACUGUCAUUAUAUUUUAACAAUACUGUGAUUGUGUGGGAGAGUUGUUCUCUACGAUGCUUUCAAAUAAAUAAUCACAAAGUAAAAUAAGUUGUGGAGAAAUGUGCGCUAGUAAGAAUUGCACUGAUACACAGUAUUAAAAGUUGAAUACAGUUAACAAAUCUGUAGCUGUUGUUUAAUUAUCAAAUUUGAGAAUUUUCAAGUGUUUUAUUUGAUACUCUAAAAGUACGUGUAUAAUAUAUUGUAACAGCACAUUAAUAACCCAAGUUUUAUUGACAAAUGAAGUACAGUCAUCAUUUUUACACCUACUUGAAAUUAUUAUGCCUAAUAUUCCAAAAUUCAAUGUUGUUACAUCUUGUGAUAGUGUUAAAAUCUAACCCGUCACUCUUUUUGAUAUACAUGUAUUUACAGAGAGCAAAAUAUUUUGGGAAGUCUUGAAUGAUUAGCAAUUUUUGAGCCAGUAUAACUUUGAAACAGUACAUAAAUACCAUCAGAUUUUCACUGCAGAACAAUAGUAACCAUGUUCUGUAAAACUUAAUUGCUUUAAAAUGUUUGAAUUUUGAGCAUUAUUUACAAAAAAUGUGUGUCAAAUGUUUGUACUGCAAGUAGAAUAGAAUAAAACUUUGGUCUGUAUCAACUGUGCAGGAAAUCAAAAUAGUAAGACAAGGGGAAUAAAUAACCAACAAGAGGAAUAUGUACAAAACAAGGGGAAGGAGUUGGUUGGUGUAUGGAGUCUGUGUGUGAGUGACCUGAGGGAUGAGGCCACUCAGAUCAUGAAUCAGACCAUAGCUCAGAUUGGUGGGUGGGUGGGGUGGAGGUGUGGGACUUGAUUCACCUGAGGUAUGAAAUCUCUACACAUCAUAUUCACUGUCUGGCCUUUGACGAGAUAAACUGAUCACGUUCUUGUGUUUGCAAAAAAACUACAUGAAAAAAC
ensembl:lncRNA